rnacentral:rRNA from 1 species
UACGUAGGGUGCAAGCAUUAAUCGGAUUUAUUGGGCGUAAAGGGCGCGUAGGCUGGAGCGUAAGUCAGAUGUGAAAUCCCGGGGCUCAACCCCGGAAUAGCAUUUGAAACUGCGUUUCUAGAGGGUAGGCGGAGAAAACAGAAUUCCACAAGUAGCGGUGAAAUGCGUAGAUAUGUGGAAGAAUACCUGUGGCGAAGGCGGUUUUCUAGCUUACACCUGACGCUGAGGCGCGAAAGCAAGGGGAUCAAACAGG